AACGAACGCUGGCGGCAGGCCUAACACAUGCAAGUCGAACGUGAAGCCACCUUCGGGUGGUGGAAAGUGGCAGACGGGUGAGUAACGCGUGAGACCGUGCCUUUCGGUUCGGAAUAACCCAGGGAAACUUGGGCUAAUACCGGAUACGCCCUUCGGGGGAAAGAUUCAUCGCCGAAAGAUCGGCCCGCGUCGGAUUAGCUAGUUGGUAGGGUAAUGGCCUACCAAGGCGACGAUCCGUAGCUGGUCUGAGAGGAUGACCAGCCACACUGGGACUGAGACACGGCCCAGACUCCUACGGGAGGCAGCAGUGGGGAAUAUUGGACAAUGGGCGAAAGCCUGAUCCAGCCAUGCCGCGUGGGUGAAGAAGGCCCUAGGGUUGUAAACCCCUUUCAGCGGGGAAGAUAAUGACCGUACCCACAGAAGAAGCCCCGGCUAACUCCGUGCCAGCCGCCGCGGUAACAC
rnacentral:rRNA from 1 species